rnacentral:rRNA from 1 species
GAUGAACGCUAGCGACAGGCUUAACACAUGCAAGUCGAGGGGAAACGAUAGAGAAAGCUUGCUUUUUCUAGGCGUCGACCGGCGCACGGGUGAGUAACGCGUAUCCAACCUGCCCACCACUUGGGGAUAACCUUGCGAAAGUAAGACUAAUACCCAAUGAUAUCCCACGAAGGCAUCCGAAUGGGAUUAAAGAUUUAUCGGUGAUGGAUGGGGAUGCGUCUGAUUAGCAUGUUGGCGGGGUAACGGCCCACCAAGGCAACGAUCAGUAGGGGUUCUGAGAGGAAGGUCCCCCCACAUUGGAACUGAGACACGGUCCAAAACUCCUACGGGAGGCAGCAGUGAGGAAUAUUGGGUCAAUGGGCGAGAGCCUGAACCAGCCAAGUAGCGUGAGGGAUGACUGCCCUAUGGGUUGUAAACUGCUUUUAUAAGGGAAUAAAGUGAGUCUCGUGAGGCUUUUUGCAUGUACCUUAUGAAUAAGGACCGGCUAAUUCCGUG